rnacentral:tRNA from 1 species
GCGCCCGUAGCUCAGCAGGAUAGAGCAGCGGAUUCCUAAUCCGGAGGUCGGGGGUUCAAAUCCCUUCGGGCGCACCA